GAGAGACUUUCCACUGGAUCUGCAACUUUAGCAGGGAACUCUUGAACUAUAUCUAAUAGAUUUCAUUUUAAAUUAUUCAACUAUAUGAUGAACACUUUCAAGUGGCUGAGGUGACUCUCUUUGCCAGGCCGGCAUGAGCAUGAACUAUGGUGCCAAAAGUUUCCUAAAUCAAAAGGUGAGGCCCCAUUCUCUCAAAGAAUGAUGGUUUACACUAGUGAUCAGUCCUGUGCAACAGGUGGUGUGUCACCAU
rnacentral:lncRNA from 1 species